AGAGUACCCUCAAAGUUACGUGCACACACAAGCUUCUGCAGUGUUUGAUCCAGAAUAUCUGAGUAAAGAUGGCCGCCAUGUUGGAUUGACUGCAACAAGGGACCAAAGAGGACAUGGAUCAAAGCAGAUAUGCAUCACAGACACGUCGCUUUUUGUCACCCUCGCUGUGACAGAAAGCGACGUGAUGUGAGGCGGCGCCGAAGGAGAAUAAUUUCACUCAGCGGUGUCUUCUGAGCAGUCGCCGCCUUUUCUUCAGGCACAGUGUGACUCUGAGCAGUCUGACUCGACGGAUGUUUCACGGGAGAAAAGUGAUUUCUACUUUGGCUGCACAGCUGGUGGACUGUCAAGUCUAAUUGUUUUCUUUCCUCAUCCAUUCUCCCCGCCAGCGUCUUCUUUGCUUUCUGCAUCAGAGCCAAUCAGUGCGGAGGUAAUCAAACAUUAGCCAAGGUACACAAAAACACGCCUGGUUACACAACUCUUUUGUUAUCUGUCGAUACAUCACCAUUCCUUCUGACAGUGACUCAAGCUGGACCCAUCUGUGCAGAACUACACAGGGCCUCAUGGCAGCAUGCUCAAAGGAGGACACCUACAGUGCGCUUGCAAUGAAAAGUAAAUAUAGAGCUUUAAACCAAUCAGAAACACCUAAAUCCACCAUGACUGGUACACCUAAAAUACAAUCUAUAAUAUAAGCUCCCCUUGAUUUUGAGAUGACCCCCACUUUUAGGUAAGCAGUGUUACCAGUAUCUAAAGGCGUUUUCAACUGCAGGGACUUCAACUGGAGGAACCAGGGUCUAAAUUUAGUUCAGGGUUAGUUAAUCUCCCUCCUGAAAAGCCCCUGCUUGGAGGGGUAGUACUUUUCAAAGUCCCAGGACUUUCAGGGGACAGGGCCUGCAAUGCUGAACGUGUCUGAUUGGUAGAUUAACCGCAGUGUUCGCUGUGUUUCUUUAAACCCACCUGCAAAUUUGCUCUCCCGGUGUUAUGGCUUUAAAAGUGACCCUUUAAAGUGGAGACCUUCAGCUGAGGGAGUUCCUGGGAAUGCAAACUAGUUUAGUUUUUUAUGAAGAUUUUAAAAUAUCCAAAGCUUGGUUGAUUCUAAGGGCCAAUGGCUAAGAAAGGCCCCUAAAAAAAUCUUACAAUAGAUAUGUAAGUUUUUCAAUGUGUGUUUAUUAAUCUGUUGUCAAGACAUGACUAUUUCA